rnacentral:snoRNA from 1 species
UUGUAAUUUCAAAGAAGAUUCAUUUGGCUGCGAAACUAAGGGCUCUUAACUCUGUGACCAAAGAUUUCAAUUCUCCAAAGGAUGCUAUAGUCACUCAGUAUGUUAUCAAACUUGGAGUAUAAUUCUGUGCCUCAAGC